GUCCCUAGUGGCACAAUGGGUCAGGGUGUCUGGCUGUUAACCUGAAGGUUGGUGGUUCAAGCCCACCCAGGGACA